rnacentral:rRNA from 1 species
CCUACGGGUGGCAGCAGUGAGGAAUAUUGGUCAAUGGACGAGAGUCUGAACCAGCCAAGUAGCGUGAAGGACGACUGCCCUAUGGGUUGUAAACUUCUUUUAUAUGGGAAUAAAAUGUUCCACGUGUGGGAUUUUGUAUGUACCAUAUGAAUAAGGAUCGGCUAACUCCGUGCCAGCAGCCGCGGUAAUACGGAGGAUCCGAGCGUUAUCCGGAUUUAUUGGGUUUAAAGGGAGCGUAGGUGGAUUGUUAAGUCAGUUGUGAAAGUUUGCGGCUCAACCGUAAAAUUGCAGUUGAAACUGGCAGUCUUGAGUACAGUAGAGGUGGGCGGAAUUCGUGGUGUAGCGGUGAAAUGCUUAGAUAUCACGAAGAACUCCGAUUGCGAAGGCAGUUCACUGGACUGCAACUGACACUGAGGCUCGAAAGUGUGGGUAUCAAACAGGAUUAGAUACCCGUGUAGUC